rnacentral:misc_RNA from 1 species
UCUCACGCUGGCUCGCGAGUUAAUAGCCCGUACUUUCAGCUCGUAACUCGGACGGCGAUCUAGAUAAAGCUGCUUUAUGAAGCCAGAGUGAGCACACAGUUUCUCUUCUGUAGUCGCUCGCCGCGUGUCGUCGAGUCGGGUCGAAUCGUAGGCCAACAAUAGCCACGCGUCGUCUAGACGCGUACCUAGCCGUGUUCAGCUGCGGCGAACUCGUUCUACCCAUCGAGAUCCAACUUUAGGUCCGAUAUAUCGUGCGACAAUUAAUUCUUUCAGCUCGCGCAUCGUGUUCGUAUCGAUAACCGUGUCAUCGAACACGGUCGACAAAUUGUAAAUCAAAUAUCUGCG